rnacentral:rRNA from 1 species
UUCAAACUAGCCUGAUCACCCAACCCAAUUUAACCUUAUAAACUACAUAAAUAUAUCAACUCACCAUUAAAACAUUUUAAUAUCUUAAGUAUGGGCGAUAGAAAAAGACAACCAGCGCAAUAGUUUUAGUACCGCAAGGAAAAGUUGAAAAAGAAAUGAAACAAAUUAUCAAAGUACAAAAAAGCAGAGAUUUAAACUCGUACCUUUUGCAUCAUGAUUUAGCUAGAUAAACUAGGCAAAAAGACCUUAAGUCUAACUCCCCGAAACUAAACGAGCUACUUCGAAGCAGCACAACCAAGAGCUAACCCGUUUCUGUGGCAAAAGAAUGGGAAGUUCCAAGUAGCGGUGAUAAACCUACCGAGUUUAGUGAUAGCUGGUUACCUGAAAAAAGAAUUUUAGUUCUGCAUUAAUUUUUUAUCACUAAACAAGACUAUCUCAUUAAAGUGUAACAUAAAAAUUAAAAGUUAUUUAAAAGAGGUACAGCCCUUUUAAACCAAGGUACAACUUUAAACGGUGGGUAUUGAUCAUAAUUAAAAAGAUUACCUCCCCAGUAGGCCUAAAGGCAGCCACCUGAAAAGCCAGCGUCACAGCUCCAGUUUUAAAAAUUCCACAAUACCGAUAAACUAUCAUAACCCCCAAAUUUUACAUCAGGUUAUUUUAUAUAUAAAUAUAAAAGAACUUAUGCUAAGAUGAGUAAUAGGAGGUCAAACCUCUCCUAACAUAAGUGUAAACCAGAAAGAAUUAAAUCACUGAUAAUUAAACGAACCUAUUGAAGUUAUUAUAUUAACAGAUAAUAAACCAGACAAACCUAUUCAAUAACUCGUUAACCCCACACAGGAAUGUUACAAGGAAAGA